GUUCAAUAUGACUCUCCAACAAUGCAACAGUCAUCUGAUGACAUCAGAGAGGAACAUAGUUCUGUUGCAGAGGAAUCUAGUCCAAUCAAGACAGCAAAUCCAAGUCCUUUUAUGACUGAAGGUCUUCCUCCUCAUGUGACACAGGAGACCAGUUUUGUGACGUCUGAAGAUACAAACUCUACUGAAAAGCUCAGUUCAAGUGUUCUAGAAGAGCUGAGUUCAAGCUUUCCAGGAGACCAUAGUAGCAGCAUUAAUGAAGAUGGCUCUUAGUGUUACAGG